GACGAACGCUGGCGGCGUGCCUAACACAUGCAAGUCGAACGGAACUGUUUUGAAAGCUUUCUUCGGAAUGAAUUUGAUUUAGUUUAGUGGCGGACGGGUGAGUAACGCGUGAGUAACCUGCCUUCAAGAGGGGAAUAACAUUCUGAAAAGAAUGCUAAUACCGCAUGACAUAUCGGAACCACUUGGUUUUGAUCUCAAAGAUUUUAUCGCUUGAAGAUGGACUCGCGUCCGAUUAGUUAGUUGGUGAGGUACCGGCUCACCAAGACGGGGAUCGGUAGCCGGACUGAGAGGUUGAGCGGCCACAUUGGGACUGAGACACGGGCCAGACUCCUACGGGAGGCAGCAGUGGGGGAUAUUGCGCAAUGGGGGCAACCCGGACGCAGCAACGCCGCGUGAAGGAUGAAGGUUUUCGGAGUGUAAACUUCUUUUAUUAAGGACGAAAAAUGACGGUACUUAAUGAAUAAGCUCCGGCUAACUACGUG
rnacentral:rRNA from 1 species